rnacentral:rRNA from 1 species
AGAGCGAACGCUGGCGGCAGGCUUAACACAUGCAAGUCGAGCGCUCGUAGCAAUACGAGAGCGGCAGACGGGAGAGUAACACGUGGGAACGUACCCUUCGGUUCGGAACAACCCAGGGAAACUUGGGCUAAUACCGGAUACGUCCGUAAGGAGAAAGAUUUAUCGCCGAAGGAUCGGCCCGCGUCUGAUUAGCUAGUUGGUGAGGUAACGGCUCACCAAGGCGACGAUCAGUAGCUGGUCUGAGAGGAUGAUCAGCCUCACUGGGACUGAGACACGGCCCAGACUCCUACGGGAGGCAGCAGUGGGGAAUAUUGGACAAUGGGCGCAAGCCUGAUCCAGCCAUGCCGCGUGGGUGAUGAAGGCCUUAGGGUUGUAAAGCUCUUUUACCAGGGAUGAUAAUGACAGUACCUGGAGAAUAAGCUCCGGCUAACUCCGCGCCAGCAGCCGC